UACGAAGGGGGCUAGCGUUGCUCGGAAUCACUGGGCGUAAAGGGCGUGUAGGCGGGAAGGAAAGUCAGAUGUGAAAUCCCUGGGCUCAACCCAGGAACUGCAUUUGAAACUCCCUUUCUUGAGUACCGGAGAGGAAGGUGGAAUACCUGGUGUAGAGGUGAAAUUCGUAGAUAUCAGGUGGAACACCAGUGGCGAAGGCGGCCUUCUGGACGGUAACUGACGCUGAGACGCGAAAGCGUGGGGAGCAAACAGG
rnacentral:rRNA from 1 species